AUGGCGGCUUCGGUGCGAGGCGUCCUGAUGGUCCCGCUCCCGCCUCCGCUCGCUUCCCCGCGCCGCCUCGCCCUGUCCCCGCGGAGGCGCCGCCGUCGCCUCCCCAGGGUCCGCGCGGCUGCGGUGGAGCCCGUCGAGGUGGUGGGCGUCGGGAGCCGGAAGGACGCCGUCAUCGACUUCUGCCUCGGCUCCCGCACCCUCUCCUCCACCCCGAUCCGCUUCUGGACAGUACAUGUGGAUAAUUCUGAAGUGCAAUUCAUACCGAGAAUUCAGGAUACAGAGACAGCAGUUGGAGUCUUGGAACGUCCCUUAUCUCUUCAUCCUUGCCCGUCGGCGGUUAUUAUUGUUGCAAGUGCCGGACAGGAGGCUGAUCAAAUCGCUGCACUGGAGCUUCUAAGUGCUACCAAAUCUGCUGAUAAUCUGGCUGCAUCAAUAUUUUUGAAGCCCUUUUGUUUCGAGGGACAAAGACGGCAAUUGGAGGCAUCUGAUUUGAUUGUUAAAUUUCAAGCAUGCUCGAAUUUUCACAUUGUUAUUGAAGCUGAUUCACUGCUUGAGACGGAAGUGGAAACUCUUGCUGAAGCUUUGGAAAGUGCCAAUAAUGCUGUCCUCUCAACUAUUAGUAUGAUAUCCAUCAUGAUGUCGGGAUUUAAUCAAAUGUUCUGGAGCUCCCUUGAUGCACAAAUUAAGGAAGUUGAUCCUGAUGAAGUAGGCAAACUACUCAAAAGCUAUGGGGAAGCUAGGGUUGGAUUUGGUGCUGGUUAUAAUGUCCAAUCAGCUAUUAAACAGGCUGUUCUUCACUGUCCAUUUCUUCGUGGUGGCAUAAAGGACUUGAACAAUGUUGUUUUUCUGUCGCUUACAACUUCCCGGGUAUUGGCCGAGAGUGAUAUGAUCUCCAUUCUACACAUCUUUCGUCGAGUUACUGGGUUCACUAAGGACAUUAUAUUUUCUAGAAAUUCUGAACCUGAUCUAGAGCCAAAACUCAUAGUAGUUUCUCUUCUAACAAUUCGAAAUGCCCGUGAUGAAAAUGUUGCCUCAGUAAAGGAGGGGUUUCUUUUGAGCAUGGCUUUGCAUUUUCCUUUUAUAUCAUCUCUUAUGGGAGGAGAUACUCAGGAGCUUAGACAAGCUCGGUUAAAUCACUCAUUCAGCCAAUUGCCUGACAGUGGAUUGAGCUUAGCGGAUCAAGGAUUGCCAGAACAUUUCAGUGUUUCUAAUGAUGCUACUGUUUCUAAUUUACGUUCUGACAAAAUAGAAAAUAUCAAAUCUGAGAGGGAAUGUGAUAACAGUAAUGGGAGAAUACAUCCAGAGUUUAAAGAAGCUAAUUUAGAGUCUGAUGGAGAAACUAGUAUAGAUGUUGGCAGAGAGGAUCCAAGUUCACAACAGGAGCGUAAUUUCUGGAGUAAUGCCUUUGGUAUCGCACAAUUGUGGGCUAAAGAGCGGACCACAACAGGUAGAAGCAAUAAAAGGAAUGAGCUCGAUUAUAUCACUCUGCCUGUUGGUGUAAAAUCUCUUGAGGUUCAGUAUGAUCAUUCUCCAAAUACACAGCCUGAAACCCAUAAUGCUACCGAUAGCACACCUCUAUCUACUGGGCAUGCUGUCUCUGGAACCUCACUUUCUGGUGUUGGUUUGGAGAAAGUGAUGGAGAUAUGUAGUUCUGCAGCGGCAUUUCUAAAGGGCAGAAUGGAUAAAUCUCGAAAACGUGGUUCUGCUGCCAGCCGAGCUGCAUCGAUGCUCGAUGCAGAAAGAGAACCCGAAAAAACAUGGAGCCCAAUAGUUGAAAUACAGUUUGGAGAAGGGACUUACAGAGGGAGAUGCCAAGAAGGUGUCCCUGAAGGAAAGGGACGCUUAACCUACAGUGAUGGUAGCAUCUAUGAUGGACUCUGGAGGUAUGGCAAGAGAUCCGGUUUGGGAACACUUUAUUACAGUAAUGGUGAUGUAUUUCAUGGAACAUGGAGGGACGAUCUUAUUCAUGGAAAGGGUUGGUACUAUUUUCACAGUGGUGACCGUUGGUUUGCGAAUUUCUGGAAGGGGAAGGCUAAUGGCGAGGGGAGAUUUUAUGCCAAGGAUGGGAGUAUACUCUUUGGCCAUUUUCAAAAUGGAUGGCGUCAUGGAGAGUGCCUGUUGAUAGAUGGGAAUGGAUCAAGGUGGCUUGAAGUUUGGGACGAUGGUGUACUUACCGGACGGACUAAAUUGGAAGAAUAG
rnacentral:rRNA from 1 species